GAAACUCUUGCAUGCCACUGGUUUGUGCUAACAGUGGCUGCAUUAUUACAGGGCCGAAUUAAUCUUCCAGGCGUCCGUUUGUGUUACUCCGAUCAGGCAGGUCUUGUUUGUGCAGGGCUGACCCUGCUUCCUGGCGUGCUCGCCUGGAGAUGCUGUGCCAGAUUCCCCAGUGCUGAGGCAAAACAACUCAGCUGGCACGUUGUGGGAACUGUGGGGACAGCGGGCCAGUGGCCAUGGGGCACACACUGCCCUGGGACUGGCAGGGACUCUGUAGGAGGAUUUAAGAACAUGAUGGGUAUGUUUUAUAACCGGUGCCUUUCCCCUGCUCGCCUACUCCGACAUCCUCGGAGCCGUCCCGUCCUCUCGAGCAGCCUCAGUAGAAUGCUGCCCUCUUUUGAACGCAAGGACGCAGCGCACGUUGAAAGAUGCUGGUGAAUCCUGCGGGGCUGACGAUCGAGUGGAAAGGCAGCGCCAUGUAUUCUGCUAUUAAACAGAGCCAGGAGAGUUGUUUGGAAGAAUGCAAAUUCUCUAAAAUAGCAGUUCUCCUCUUUCUUUUGAAAAAAAUUGGGAAACAGACAAAAGUGCUCGACUGUUUUAAGGAAAUACUGUAGCCAAGGAAAUUUUGCUCUCUCCAGUGCCUCCAUGGAGAGGAGAGCAAGUCAUGAAAUACAUGGGUCUUCAAUCAAUUUGCGUUAUUUCCUUUGACUGUUUGAGUGAUGAGUUUUGUUGAACACCUAGGUCUUGUGGUUGGAGGAAAACUUCUUUUCAGAGAGACCUCUGAAGGAGAGGGGUUCAAUCUGACUCUGUACCAUAACAUGGGGUGCUGUAGUGCAUAGUAAUCCAAAAUGUGCACUCACUGGUUCAGAGCCACUGUUGUGGUGGCUGUAGGAAGUGCUGCAUCUCUGGCUUGAGCAAAUUCCUGGGGAGAUAUACCUCCAUCCAGAGAGAGGGGGGUGUUUCUUCAGCUAUUCUUCCUCCUCAGUGACAAGCAGCUGCAAGGAUAGGGCACACUUCUGUGUGUUUUCCUUCAGGGAAGGAAUAUAAAGGAGAUCUUGUGGGAAAAGCUUUGCUGGAGGAGCCACCGCCUUCUUUUUUUCAAUAGUGGCAUUGACAAAACCCUUUCCUCUUCCACUCCUACACACCCCUGCUUAAUGAAACUUUCUGCUGGAGGCAAUGGGUGCAAGGAGCCAUCACACCAGGUCUUGGGGCAGCAAUCGAACUGUGCCAAAGAAACACCCCCAGGGGCUGGGCAUUCAGCUUUCAAUCUGUAGCACCCCAGAAGAUGGCAGCUUACACAUGGGAGCAGGAUCUUAGACACACAGAAGGUAUCUUGCAUGAGAGGGGUGCUGAGGAGACCACACACUGUAGAGGAAAGAAAGGAAAAUGUGAAUGCUCACAUAAACCCACAGUCAUUUCCUUCCCCCUUAUUUAAACAUGUUUCUCCCUACCCAACCCUCUCACAGCUAUCAGAAGCUGAAAUGAAAAGAUAGGCAGCAAGGAGCAAUAUGCAACCAAAAUGUUCAGGCUGACAAUAGCUGUACAUCCCAUUAGUUACAUGAUUUUUGCAAAAGGGCAUAUGCUGCUUAACGUUUAUCUUGUUUUUCUGCACCUACAGACCUUUUAUUACUUAUUUAUUUAUUUAUUUUGGCACAAUAGUGAGGGGAGUCAGUCUCAAAUACCACCUGAAAUAGUAGGAUAAAUGGGAAGGAACUGGGCAUGCUUACAUCACUGUCAGUGUACACUGUCUCAAACAUACACAACACCAAACAAUGCAAUAAAAAUAAACAAUGCAGUAUUGUGUCA
ensembl:lncRNA